rnacentral:lncRNA from 1 species
CGGGACUUAUUCCUCUAUGGAUACCUUAUAGAUGAGAUGGAUAACUGAUGCCAUACAGAUAUAUAUCUUAGUAAUAUGCCCACACCUAUAGACUAUGUUCCUGUUAGCGCACUGCUGCUUGAAGACUCCUCUCCUUACUUGCUAACUCUACCUUAAGAAUCGCCAAACCGCUCGACACUGAUGGAAUUACUCCACUGGAUUUCUUUCCAGCUUAAGAGACUUCUUCAGAUACAGAUCCCCAGUAUCUUAUUCUUAUCCUAUUCCCGCUGCGCUUACUGCUGACUUCUCUUUUGCCUAACCAACAAAUCAUUAAUAGAACCUUUCGAGCACAGAAGCAGAGGUAGAGUCGACCACUACAAGGGAAAGGAAAGCCAAUCACCGGCACCUCUAUCAUAGACAUCGCAAGCACCCAAAGAAAACGAUACUUCAAAAAACACCACACGAAGAAACAAAACGGAUUCUGAAGCUUGCAGCAGACUUUAUCACUGGCGGAUUAUCUAGCCUCUGAUUCUCUAACUUAUGUUGAUUCUUGCACUGUUUCGGCGGAAACUGGAAGUCAAACAAUCAUUUAUCUUACUGCAUUCAUAUAUAAGAGAAGAAUUGGAUAGCCCUGCUUAACUCCCUGAUUGCUUUACCGCUUCCUUUCCUUUCUGCUUUUGAACUUCACAAGACUUGUUUGUUUGGUCAGGAUACUGCUUCCCUUUCUUCUUAUUAAGAACACAGCUUCCCGAAACUGACUAGAAGGGCUAACUCUCACUCUUGACUUUCGAACAGGAACAUUCCACUCCCUUACACGGGACUACUACUACUGGGGCAAAGCGUAUACUAUUGGACUGGAACCCUACCAGCUAGAAGAUACCUCGCAUCAAAGCAAAGCCUUUACUUUACCGACAUAGGAGUGGAAUUCUUUAUUUGUAUCUAUCUGUUCUGUUCUCUUUAGUAAGAAUACCAGAGCCAAGGAGCUACUAGAGUUUCUGUAAGCAGUUCUAUUACCAGCAUAGUUUCUGUAAGCAGUUCUCUUACCAGCGGAGUUUCACUCUUAUCUUACUACUCGCUUCGGGGGCCAAGCAAGCCAGCCCAGUGGUGGUUGAAUUCUUCCAUUCCUUAGAAUGUUGUGAGUUCAAAAGUAAACUAUCCGCAUUCUCUGCUUGUAUAGUAGUUGGGUUUACAGCAAACAGUGGUUCAGAUCCUUUGCCAACAACACUUAACUUAACGAGCAGGGAUUUAACUCUACCGACCCACUCCCCAUAUGAUGUUUCUUCACCUGCCCUGGCCCUUGCUUGUCGUUUAGUUGCCCGGUCUCUUUUCUUUCUCAACUUUAUCCUUAAGAAAGUAAUAGUGGUUUUAUUAUGAAAAUACAAGAAAUACAGAAUUGCAACGGAGCUCUAAUCUAAGUAAGCAGAUUCUCUCUCUUCUCUGGUCGACUUGCCUAGUUGCUUGUUCAUUAGUAUAUACUUGGCGGGCCUUAUUCAGAUUACCUUAUAGAGAAACUACCUUAUUCAGAUUACCUUAUAAAGAAGUAACACUGGAAAAGAGGUGAAACUCAUUAUAGAGGCAUCGACCUAUACCACUCCUUUAACUUGCCCAGGUUCUCGUUGUUCUCUUUCUCUUACUCGGAAGGAAACUCAGGGCUCGUUCAACUCUAGUACUAUAAGUCAACGAAUUCUUUUUAAAUGAAAUUAUGAUUUAUUGCUCUAGUCUAGUACUAUGCAGGCAAUCCGAUGUCAACAAAUACUGACACAUAGCAUCUUUUCUCUCUUAACUAGGGAUUCGACAAGAACUAGGCGAACAGAUUAGGGUUGGAAGGGAACCCACGUGCUAGUGAACGCUCCUAUUAACUUAACUGAAUGAGGCAUACCUCUCCUCUGCUAAACUCUAUUUACCUCUCCUCUGGCUCAUAUAACUCCAUUUUUUGAUACCUGAAUUAUGAUCUAUACCUUUGCAUACCUCCGGCACCUUAGUGUCGACAAGCAACUAAGUAAGGCACGGUAGAGUGAGCUAUAAACAAGGAAUACAGAAACAAAGAAUACAGAAAACCCAAGUAGUCGGAAUAAAACCAUGAAUGAAGUCGAAAAACCAAAAAACGAUUGCAAGGAAUAGUGGUUAAUGAGUGGUGGGACUCCAUCUUCCCUACGGUUGAGCUAGUUGUGGAAGAUAAUCCUGAAGUUUCAAUGUAGUUCAAAUCCUAUAGAGGUUGUUGGGUUGGUGCUCUAGCUCUAAAUAGAGGUCGGGUAGGGGAAUCCCCAGUUCCAGUGAAGUUUGUUUUAUCCUCGGUGCUGUGGUAGCUUGGUCCCUAGUGAAAUCCUUUAUUGAAUCAGUUCUCCUUUCUUUAUAAAGAGAAUAUGUAAUUUAUUAGUAAUUUCCUGGCAUGGGUAGUAAUAUCCUGGCAUGGGAAAGCCAGAUGUCGUAUAACUCACCAAGCAUAUAUGACAAACGCAAAGAAAGCUGGUAGGGAGUCAGAGUAAGGAGCAGUCGUAUCAGCUAAAGCAUAAGUUCAAUCGAAUUCAACCUCCCCUUUUCACAGAACUUCCCGGUCUAGUUUCUGAGACUGCCCGGAAAGGCUUUAUCGCACCCGAACUCUCAUAACCAUAAGAUGCAACUAGCACCGGUGAUUCUCUUGUCGAUGAAACUCAAACAGAAAGAACCUCUAUUCUAUAUACUGAAACACUCGAAGGAACAACUCCAAUAGUCAGUAGACUAAACUUGAACUAGGCAAACUUAACAAGUAUGAAACACAGAUGCACUUGAUACAAUUCGGCCCUUAAUUAAUUGGCGUCAGGAGUUAAUGGCUCGGGAGUUGAGCUCAAUUCAGUUUUCCUUCCUUUGCACUGAACUCUGGAUUUUCCUUCUUUUGCACUGAACUCGAGUUUAGUUUCGAAAGCCUGAGUGAUUAAAGCGAAGUAAUAGCUGUUUUGUUAGGUUACUCUCUUAUAGACUAUUCUGCAUUCUUCACCCUAUUCUUAUGAUUCCACUUGAACCCUAUUCUUAUCAUUCAACACCCCCAACGAGUAUUGGAAUGACACAAGCCUACCCGAGCCUCGUAUAGGAAUGACACAAGUAAGUCCACUACCCGCCAAGCAUAUACUAACUCUCCGGAUUCUGUUUCUUAUCUGUCAACUGGUUAUGAUCUAGCUUCAUCUCUUAUUUCCCCAACUCGUAUACUAGGAGCUAAAGCACCCUUGAUACUAGGAGCUACUAGUAGGUAAUAACUCUUACUGGAGCAUUGGUUUCUUUUCUUACUUGUGAGUUCAAUUCAGAGUUUGAGUAGUUCCUGUUUUCUUAUCUGCGUCAGUGGCUCAAGUUCCAUUUCCAUGAUUUUAUUACUUUACUGUUUUCCUCGGUGCUAGAAGACUCAGUGGAAAGAAGGUAAGGCUGGAAAGAAUCUUAGUAUUACUCUCCGGUCUAACAAACGACGGCGACUACAGCUAAGGUAAGGUCUAUGUUAUACGGCAAAAACGAAUGAAUUCAAAGGCCAGUGUUCGACUACUAAGGGGAAUCAGCAAGUUCAGAAGCCUAAUAAGGAUCUUGCUGCAGGAGCAGGUUAGGAACCCUUAGAAAGUAUUGUUCCAGAAGUGCUUGCUUGUUCGGUUAAGUACUGAAUAAAGAUAAGGAUAAGGAUUAGGAGCAGAGCAAAGAUGAGAGGCAGCCCCUAAAUUCAGGACGGAGGCAGAGUUAGGUACGGGUACCCUACUUUAAUAAAGGACAGAGGCGGAGGAAAGGCGCAAUUAUGACGGUUUCUUCCUACUUAUUGUAUAAUUCUCACUCAAACCUGUUUUGGUCAGUGAACUGCCUGCUUGAUGGCAUUAAUUCCUACGAUAUGGGCGAGUUACAGAGAUUCCAUUUCAAGAGGAUAGUAAGCAAGCGGGUAAUCAGAAGGAAGAACUUAGAUGUGAUGUGCACUAGAGAAAAAGAAUAUUCCGGAUUGGAAGGAAUGAGGUUAGACUUUCAAUGAUUUGUAGCCUCUGCCCGCUAAAUAUGAUAUGAAUUCUUUGUUUCGCUGGGUGGAUGAAAUUCCUUAUUAGUUGACUCAGAACAAGCAAGGGUAUCAAGUCUAG